rnacentral:Y_RNA from 1 species
AAUUGGUCUAAGUACAGUGGUGUUUAUAACUAAUUGAUCACAAGUGGUAACAAAUUUCUUGUUCCUUUAGCAGUCCCACUGCUUCACUUGAAUAGUAAA